rnacentral:rRNA from 1 species
GAUGAACGCUGGCGGCGUGCCUAACACAUGCAAGUCGAGCGGGGUAUACGGAGCAGCUUGCUGCACUGUAGACCUAGCGGCGGACGGGUGAGUAACGCGUGGGUAACCUGCCUUACACAGGGGGAUAACACUGGGAAACCAGUGCUAAUACCGCAUAACAUCAUUUUAUGGCAUCAUGAAAUGAUCAAAGGAGAAAUCCGGUGUAAGAUGGGCCCGCGUCCGAUUAGCUAGUUGGUGAGGUAAUGGCUCACCAAGGCAGCGAUCGGUAGCCGGACUGAGAGGUUGGCCGGCCACAUUGGGACUGAGACACGGCCCAGACUCCUACGGGAGGCAGCAGUGGGGAAUAUUGCGCAAUGGGGGGAACCCUGACGCAGUGACGCCGCGUGAAGGAAGAAGGCCUUCGGGUUGUAAACUUCUUUGAUUGGGGAAGAAAAAUGACGGUACCCAAAGAACAAGCCACGGCUAACUACGUGCCAGCAGCCGCGGUAAUACGUAGGUGGCGAGCGUUAUCCGGAAUUACUGGGUGUAAAGGGCGUGUAGGCGGGGAUGCAAGUCAGAUGUGAAAUUCCGGGGCUCAACCUCGGCACUGCAUCUGAAACUGUGUCUCUUGAGUGCUGGAGAGGAAAGUGGAAUUCCUAGUGUAGCGGUGAAAUGCGUAGAGAUUAGGAGGAACACCAGUGGCGAAAGCGACUUUCUGGACAGCAACUGACGCUCAGGCGCGAGAGCGUGGGGAGCAAACAGG